AUGCAGCAAGCGAAGGUGAAGGUGAAGGACGGCUCGAGCGCGCUGAGGGCCAAGGCGAAGAUCGCGUGGGCCAAGCUGGCGGAGAAGGUGGAGGCGGCGACGUCGAGGUCGCACGACGAGCGGAAGCUGGCGCACGAGCGCGGCAGGGCCAAGGUUGCCGCCGCCGAGGCGCAGCUGCACCGUGAGAAGGUGGCGCACCGCGAGGCGGCCAUGGAGCACCGCCUCCACAAGCACGCCGGCGUGGGCGGCCACAACCACAAGCACGACGCCGGUGGCGUGCACUGA
rnacentral:rRNA from 1 species